AACGAACGCUGGCGGCAGGCUUAACACAUGCAAGUCGAACGCACCUUUCGGGGUGAGUGGCAGACGGGUGAGUAACACGUGGGAACGUACCCUUCAGUUCGGAAUAACCCUGGGAAACUAGGGCUAAUACCGGAUACGGCCGAGAGGCGAAAGGUUUACUGCUGAGGGAUCGGCCCGCGUCCGAUUAGCUAGUUGGUGUUGGUAACGGCUCACCAAGGCGACGAUCGGUAGCUGGUCUGAGAGGAUGGCCAGCCACAUUGGGACUGAGACACGGCCCAAACUCCUACGGGAGGCAGCAGUGGAGAAUAUUGGACAAUGGGCGCAAGCCUGAUCCAGCCAUGCCGCGUGAGUGAUGACGGCCUUAGGGUUGUAAAGCUCUUUUACCUGGGAAGAUAAUGACGGUACCAGGAGAAUAAGCCCCGGCUAACUUCGUGCCAGCAGCCGCGGUAACAC
rnacentral:rRNA from 1 species